rnacentral:rRNA from 1 species
AUCCGGCAUGUAGAACGUGCGUAAGACGAUGCACGUCGUACGAGGAAGUCGGGUGCUUGCACCAUGACGGAUUAGUCGGCGAACGGGUGAGUAUCACGUGAGUAACCUGCCCUUGACUCUGGGAUAAGCCUGGGAAACCGGGUCUAAUACCGGAUAUGACCAGUCCUCGCAUGGGGUGCUGGUGGAAAGAUUUUAUCGGUCUUGGAUGGACUCGCGGCCUAUCAGUUUGUUGGUGAGGUAAUGGCUCACCAAGGCGAUGACGGGUAGCCGGCCUGAGAGGGUGACCGGCCACACUGGGACUGAGACACGGCCCAGACUCCUACGGGAGGCAGCAGUGGGGAAUAUUGCACAAUGGGCGCAAGCCUGAUGCAGCGACGCCGCGUGCGGGAUGACGGCCUUCGGGUUGUAAACCGCUUUCAGCAGGGAAGAAGCUUUUUGUGACGGUACCUGCAGAAGAAGCGCCGGCUAACUACGUGCCAGCAGCCGCGGUAAUACGUAGGGCGCGAGCGUUAUCCGGAAUUAUUGGGCGUAAAGGGCUCGCAGGCGGUUUGCCACGUCUGCUGUGAAAGCCCGGGGCUUAACUCCGGGUGUGCAGUGGGUACGGGUAGACUAGAGUGCAGUAGGGGAGACUGGAAUUCCUGGUGUAGCGGUGAAAUGCGCAGAUAUCAGGAAGAACACCGAUGGCGAAGGCAGGUCUCUGGGCUGUUACUGACGCUGAGGAGCGAAAGCAUGGGGAGCGAACAGGAUUAGAUACCCUGGUAGUCCAUGCCGUAAACGUUGGGCACUACGUGUGGGGAACAUUCCACGUUUUCCGCGCCGUAGCUAACGCAUUAAGUGCCCCGCCUGGGGAGUACGGCCGCAAGGCUAAAACUCAAAGGAAUUGACG